GCAUAUCAAUAAGCGGAGGAAAAGAAACCAACAGGGAUUGCCCUAGUAACGGCGAGUGAAGCGGCAACAGCUCAAAUUUGAAAUCUGGCUCUCGGGCCCGAGUUGUAAUUUGUAGAGGAUACUUUUGAUGCGGUGCCUUCCGAGUUCCCUGGAACGGGACGCCAUAGAGGGUGAGAGCCCCGUCUGGUUGGAUGCCAAAUCUCUGUAAAGUUCCUUCAACGAGUCGAGUAGUUUGGGAAUGCUGCUCUAAAUGGGAGGUAUAUGUCUUCUAAAGCUAAAUACCGGCCAGAGACCGAUAGCGCACAAGUAGAGUGAUCGAAAGAUGAAAAGCACUUUGAAAAGAGAGUUAAAAAGUACGUGAAAUUGUUGAAAGGGAAGCGUUUAUGACCAGACUUGGGCUUGGUUAAUCAUCUGGGGUUCUCCCCAGUGCACUUUUCCAGUCCAGGCCAGCAUCAGUUUUCCCCGGGGGAUAAAGGCGGCGGGAAUGUGGCUCUCUUCGGGGAGUGUUAUAGCCCACCGUGUAAUACCCUGGGGGGGACUGAGGUUCGCGCAUCUGCAAGGAUGCUGGCGUAAUGGUCAUCAACGACCCGUCUUGAAACACGGACCAAGGAGUCGUCUUCGUAUGCGAGUGUUCGGGUGUCAAACCCCUACGCGUAAUGAAAGUGAACGCAGGUGAGAGCUUCGGCGCAUCAUCGACCGAUCCUGAUGUUCUCGGAUGGAUUUGAGUAAGAGCAUACGGGGCCGGACCCGAAAGAAGGUGAACUAUGCCUGUAUAGGGUGAAGCCAGAGGAAACUCUGGUGGAGGCUCGCAGCGGUUCUGACGUGCAAAUCGAUCGUCAAAUAUGGGCAUGGGGGCGAAAGACUAAUCGAACCUUCUAGUAGCUGGUUUCCGCGA
rnacentral:rRNA from 5 species